GAUCAUGGCUCAGGAUGAACGCUAGCGGCAGGCUUAAUACAUGCAAGUCGAGGGGCAGCACGGUUAGCAAUAACUGGUGGCGACCGGCGCACGGGUGCGUAACACGUAUACAAUCUACCUUAAACAGGGGGAUAGCCUCGAGAAAUCGGGAUUAAUACUCCAUAACAUAAUUAAGUGGCAUCAUUUGAUUAUCAAACCUCCGGGGAUUAAAGAUGAGCAUGCGCAACAUUAGCUAGUUGGUAAGGUAAUGGCUUACCAAGGCUACGAUGUUUAGGGGGGUCUGAGAGGAUGAUCCCCCACACUGGUACUGAGACACGGACCAGACUCCUACGGGAGGCAGCAGUAGGGAAUAUUGGGCAAUGGAGGAAACUCUGACCCAGCCAUGCCGCGUGCAGGAUGACGGCCCUCUGGGUUGUAAACUGCUUUUAUACGGGAAGAAAAAAUACUACGUGUAGUAUACUGACGGUACCGUAAGAAUAAGGAUCGGCUAACUCCGUG
rnacentral:rRNA from 1 species